GUCGAGCGGCAGCACGGGUACUUGUACCUGGUGGCGAGCGGCGGACGGGUGAGUAAUGCCUAGGAAUCUGCCUGGUAGUGGGGGAUAACGCUCGGAAACGGACGCUAAUACCGCAUACGUCCUACGGGAGAAAGCAGGGGACCUUCGGGCCUUGCGCUAUCAGAUGAGCCUAGGUCGGAUUAGCUAGUUGGUGAGGUAAUGGCUCACCAAGGCGACGAUCCGUAACUGGUCUGAGAGGAUGAUCAGUCACACUGGAACUGAGACACGGUCCAGACUCCUACGGGAGGCAGCAGUGGGGAAUAUUGGACAAUGGGCGAAAGCCUGAUCCAGCCAUGCCGCGUGUGUGAAGAAGGUCUUCGGAUUGUAAAGCACUUUAAGUUGGGAGGAAGGGCAGUUACCUAAUACGUGAUUGUUUUGACGUUACCGACAGAAUAAGCACCGGCUAACUCUGUGCCAGCAGCCGCGGUAAUACAGAGGGUGCAAGCGUUAAUCGGAAUUACUG
rnacentral:rRNA from 1 species